rnacentral:rRNA from 1 species
GACGAACGCUGGCGGCGUGCUUAACACAUGCAAGUCGAACGGAAAGGCCCUGCUUUUGUGGGGUGCUCGAGUGGCGAACGGGUGAGUAACACGUGAGUAACCUGUCCUUGACUUUGGGAUAACUUCAGGAAACUGGGGCUAAUACCGGAUAGGAGUUCCUGCUGCAUGGUGGGGGCUGGAAAGUUUCGGCGGUUGGGGAUGGACUCGCGGCGUAUCAGCUUGUUGGGGGGGUAGUGGCUUACCAAGGCUUUGACGGGUAGCCGGCCUGGGAGGGUGACCGGCCACAUUGGGACUGAGAUGCGACACAGACUCCUACGGGACGCAGCAGUGGGGAAUAGUGCACAAUGGGCGGAGGCCUGAUGCGGCAACGCCGCGUGGGGGGUGACGGCCUUCGGGUUGUAAACCGCUUUCGCCUGUGACGAGGCGUGAGUGACGGUAAUGGGUAAAGAAGCACCGGCUAACUACGUG